AUUGAACGCUGGCGGCAUGCUUUACACAUGCAAGUCGAACGGCAGCGCGGGCUUCGGCCUGGCGGCGAGUGGCGAACGGGUGAGUAAUGCAUCGGAACGUGCCCAGUAGUGGGGGAUAGCCCGGCGAAAGCCGGAUUAAUACCGCAUACGACCUGAGGGUGAAAGCGGGGGACCGAAAGGCCUCGCGCUAUUGGAGCGGCCGAUGUCGGAUUAGCUAGUUGGUGGGGUAAAGGCUUACCAAGGCGACGAUCCGUAGCUGGUCUGAGAGGACGACCAGCCACACGGGGCCUGAGAACCGGCCCGGCCCCCUAGGGGGGGCCGCAGGGGGAAUUUUGGGAAAAGGGGGGAAACCCUGUCCCGGCCAUGCCGCGGGGGGAAAAAAGGCCUUGGGUUUAAAAACCGUUUUUUUUGGGAAAAAAAUCCUCUGGGCUAAUACCCCGGGGGGAGAGCGGUCCCGAAAAAAUAAGCACCGGCUAACUCCGU
rnacentral:rRNA from 1 species